UUCACCUCUCUCUCAUCUUUCUUUCUCUCUCUAGACCUCGUGCAUCCCCCCACCACCAUCAACACCACCACCACACCACACCACCCACCACCGUCUUACCACCGCUAUUGAAGUAACCUGAAACCCAGAUGAAAUUAGACCCACCUCUGUCACCAACCACCACCACAACCAUAACCACCUCCGUCACCAACCACCACCACAACAACAAACCUCCAGCACUGUCACCACAACUACUACCGCCUCUGUCACCACCACGUCCCCUCGACCAACCCCCAAACACUAGAUUUGAGCCGCCAUCUCGUCGUCAGAAACAUUCCCAAUCACACAUCCACUUGCCGACGGCGGGAAAGGAGGUGGUGGUUGGUGUUCCGAUGUAACCCUUGUCGACAUCUGAAACCCUAGAUCUAAGACAAAAUCUUUGUCGUCUGAGCCGUCGUCUUUAUCGUCUUGAACUAAUUCUAUUGUGGUGGUGUCCGAAACCCUCUGACCUAAUGUGCAGAUUGGGUUCGUACGUAUGGACUGUUCUAGGUGGCGACUAGGGUUUUGAGCUUGGGAUUGUUCGGAUUGGGUUCGUACGUAUGGACUGUUCUUAGAGGAACGACUUGAAUGCUUUAAAAUUUUGAAAUAUGAUAUUGAAUUUGAGCUUUUUACUAGAUCUGCUAAAGGUUAAUAUAAGGGCUAUAGUAGAACACGCGAUUUGGAUAGUGAAAAACUAUUGGAGCAGUUGCCUUCUUUAAAGUAGCUCUUAUACCGUCUAUUGGCAGUUGUUCGUUUAGAGAGAGAAAGUUAAAGGGUUGGUGGUGGAGGGUUCUCGACAGUGAGGGUGAGACGGUGGUGGUUGGUGUUCGGAUGGGGCGGCAGUGGAAUGGUGUUGGCAGUGGGGCGGCACUGGUAGUGGAGGUGAGACGGAGGUGGUGGGUGUGUGUUUAAUUAUAUAUAUGUAAUAUAUAUAUAUUAAAAGUUUAUGCAUUAACGACUUGUUUCUUGUACUCAUGUGCAUAUAAGACUUGUACUUUAUGUGCAAAUGACCAAAUUACCCUCAUA